rnacentral:rRNA from 1 species
UACAGAGGAUGCAAGUGUUAUCCGGAAUGAUUGGGCGUAAAGCGUCUGUAGGUGGCUUUUUAAGUCCGCCGUUAAAUCCCAGGGCUCAACUCUGGACAGGCGGUGGAAACUACCAAGCUGGAGUACGGUAAGGGCAGAGGGAAUUUCUGGUGGAGCGGUGAAAUGCGUAGAGAUCGGAAAGAACACCAACGGCGAAAGCACUCUGCUGGGCUGACACUGACACUGAGAGACGAAAGCUAGGGGAGCGAAUGGG